AUGGAGGUGGGGUGGGCAUUGAAGAAGAAAGGGGAAGAGUGGAGGUCGGCGCUGCAGGAAAGGGGGGCAGAGCACACUUCUUUUCUGGCCGAGGAGCAUUCUGGGCAGGUUACUUCCCUUGUGGAUCUAGCGGAUCUGGAAGAAGGGUUGACCGACAGAAGCAUCAACGAUUCUGGAUUUUCUUCCACUUCCUUCCCAACAGAGGGGGAGGUGCUUGGGCAGCAUAGGAGUGUCUUCUUCGAUCCAACCAAAGGUUUAUGGGAGUGUCGGCACUGCGAUUGGACACACCAAUUGAUUAGUCCCUGCAGAAAUGUCGAUUUCCCAAAUUAUCAAAGGUGUGGCCAAGUUACAAUGGAGGCCCCCUUUGACAUGGGGUUCCUUCUUGGCAAGCUGGGCAUGCUGCUAGCUCCUCAGGGGUGCAGGCUGCCGAGCCGGGUUAAGGACAGAAUGCACCUCCUCAAAGAAGAUGUUGAAGAUUUAAGCGAAUACCUUGCUGAAAUGGCAGAGGCAGAGGACCUUCCCCUGACGGCCAAGCGCUGGAUGAAAGAGGCGCGCGAGCUGGCCUAUGACAUCGAGGAUAACAUGGACAUGUGUCUACGGCCUGCCAUCAAGACCACCAGAUUCAUCUGCAAAAUCGGCCGUGUUAAGAUUCCCAAAAGGCUCUUCUCCAAAAGAGUACUUCCCAGAGGGCUCAAACAGAUUGCCUACACAGCUCAAGUGCCAGCAGAACAUGGUGGGAAGACCAGAUCAGUCUGCAAAGCCAUUCGUGUUGUCAUCAAUUGUCUUCCCAGGAGGCUCCGGUGGUACAAGCAUAUCAUGGAGCUGAUAUCAGAUUUCAGGGUGUACAUCCAAGAAGCGAUUGAACGGCAUGAGAGGUAUGAACUCCACUGCUACAGCACGUUCAGACGUAGAUUCGUGUCCGCUGGCUGUACACUUCCAACGCCGUAUGGAGGAAUUGCCAACAUGGUAAUUGAUGGCCGGGUGAGUGAGUUCAUCGACUCAUUGGAUAAUGAUAGGGAUCAACAGCUCAAGGUGUUAUCUGUUCUUGGACCUGGAUGUCUUGGUAAAACUGCACUUGCACAAGUGUUGUACAACAAAUUUGCGGGGCAAUUUGACUGUACAGCUUUCAUCCAGGUGUCCAAAAGGCCUGAUGUGGUGAGACUUCUCCGCGAUAUGCUCACGCAAGUCCAGGGGCAGCAGCCCACUGAGGAUUCUAAGGAACUUGACCUUGCUAGCAGUAUCAGGAAACAUCUACAAGAUAAAAGGUACUUAAUUAUUAUUGAUGAUAUAUGGACUGCAUCAACAUGGGAUAUUAUUAGUCAUGCUUUUCCAAAACGUAAUCGUGGAAGCAGAGUUAUAACAACUACACAAAUGGAAGAGGUUGCGUUAACAUGUUGUUGUUAUCACUCAAAGCAUAUUUUUGAGAUGAGGCCUCUGGAUCAUGAUCACUCAAGAAAGCUGUUCUUUAACAUACUUUUUGGCUCUGAAAGUGACUGUCCUAAAGAACUCAAAGAAGUAACAAACAAAAUUGUUGAAUUAUGUGGUGGUUUGCCGCUAGCAACAAUCAGCAUAGCUAGUCUACUAUCAAGCCAGCCUGUUAUAAAAAUGGAUCUUUUGGCGUACCUGUGUGAUUCAUUAAGCUCCUGUUUGUGGACAUCUCCUUCAGAAGGAACAAGACAAGUAUUGAACCUCAGCUACAAUAAUCUUCCUCGCUAUUUGAAGAUAUGCCUGCUGUGUCUUAGUAUGUACCCGAAGGGCCACACAAUGUGGAAGGAUGAUUUGGUGAAGCAAUGGGUCGCUGAAGGUUUCAUCCAUACAACAGGAGUGCAAGACAUGGAGAAAGUUGCAGCAAGCUAUUUCGAUGAACUUAUCAAGAGAAGAUUCAUCCAACCUCUAUGUAUCAAGUACAACAAUGAGGUGUCGUCCUGUACUAUUGAUGAUGUGGUACACGAUCUUAUUGCAGACAAGUCUAAAGAAGAAAAUUUCAAUGUGGUAAUAGAUUCUAGUCGAAAGAAUGUGGCACUUUCUCAUAAGGUUCGACGCCUAUCUCUCCUCUUUGGUGAUGCAAAAUAUGCGAAGACACCAGAAAACAUGAGAAGGUCACAAGUUCGGUCGCUUACUUUUUUUGGAUUAUUUGAGAGUAUGCCUUCUAUUUCAGAGUUUAAGCUCCUUCGUGUGCUAAGCCUUCAAUUAUCUGGUUAUGGUGGCCGUGGCACCAUAAACCUCACUGGGAUUUCAGAUCUGUUCCAACUGAGAUAUUUAAAGAUUGCAAGUGAUAUCUGCAUACAACUACCAGAACAUAUGCUAGGGCUACAUUGUUUGGAAACACUGGUUAUGGAUAGUGAAGCUACUGCUGUUCCAUGGGAUAUUAUUCACCUCCCAAGCUUGUCUCACCUGAGUCUGCUUGUUAUGACAAAUUUGUUGCAUUGGCUUGGCAGCAUGAGGUUCGUUGGCAAGCUGAACAACCUGCGAGAUCUUCAUCUGACCUUUUCCGUACCGUCUUCAGACUAUCUGAAGAGAAGCAUAGAAGCUCUGGGCUCCCUACUCUCAGGACAUGGCAACCUGAAAACUCUAGCCCUGGUUAAUGGCCUCUGUCACAGAAAUACCGUGGUUCGCGGUGCUUCAAAAGUGACUGUCUCCUGGGAUGGCUUAGUACCUCCUCCACUUCUCGAGGUGUUUGAUUGGUCGCUACGCAGCUGCAUACUGUCCCGUAUUCCGAAGUGGAUCGGAAAACUUGGUGAGCUCCACAUUUUGAAGAUUGCAGCAAGGGAACUUGCGAGGGAUGGUAUUGAUGCUCUCAGAGGUUUGCCCGCCCUCACUGAUCUGUCGCUGUAUUUGCAGACGGCUGCUGUUGAAAGGAUUGUCUUUGACAAGGGGGGGUUCUCAGUCCUCAACUACUUCAAGCUCAGGUGCAGUGUACCUUGCCUGAAAUUUGAGGCGAACUCAAUGCCUAAUCUCCAGAAGCUCAAACUAGGUUUCAAUGCCCCCAGACCCCUCAUAGACCAGCAUGGUGCUAGUACGGCUAUAAGCAUUGGCCACUUGCCAUGCCUUCGAGAGAUCUAUGCAAAAAUCGGGGGUGCAUGUGCUGAUGCAGAGUCUGCUUUAGCAACUGCCAUUAGCAAUCAUCCGAGCAAUCCUAGGAUCAGUGUGCAGUUGGUGGAUUAUACUUUUGAUGGUGAUGAGAUCACGCAUGAUAAAAAUGAACAAGAUGAGGUUGUGGAGGAAGACCGAGUUGGAUACUUGAAGAAGCUACUUAUGUCUUGUGCUAGAGCUGUGGAUGAGAAGGACAGCUUGGCAAUCGAUAUGACGGUUCCGGAGUUGGGGGAAAAUGUUUCAGUAUCUGGCAAGCCACUCCAGAGACUUGGAGAGUACAUGGUUGAAGGGCUUGUUGCCAGACUUGCCUCCUCCGGCCAUUCAAUCUACAGAGCUUUGAAGUGGCAAAAGCCACAUGGCUCUGAAAUGAUAUCCUACCAGCGUGAAUUGUAUGCCGUCUGCCCCUACUUAAAGUUUGGCUACGUGUCGGCAAACGGUGCAAUUGCAGAAGCCGUCAGAGGAGAAGAUAUGAUUCACAUAAUUGACUUCCGUAUCUCUCAAGGUGUUCAAUGGAUUUCUCUCAUCCAGGCUCUUGCGGCCAGGCCUGGUGGACCACCAACUGUAAGGAUCACAUGCAUUGAUGAUUCUGAAUCAGCUUACGUGCGAGGAGGCGGGCUAGAGAUACUCGGGAAUACUUUGUCAGACAUUGCUCGCGAGUUCGGGUUGCCCUUUGAAUUCCAUGCACUAGAUAUCUCUGUCAGCGGAGUGGAAGAAGGGCAUCUUGGAGUCAUCCCUGGGGAAGCUGUGGCAGUGAACUUCAACCUGACACUGCACCAGAUUCCUGAUGAGAGCGUGAGCGCGGCCAACCACCGCGACCGGAUCCUUAGGCUGGUGAAGCAGUUGUCGCCCAAGGUGGUCACCAUUGUGGAGCAGGAACUCAACACGAACACAGGCCCCUUCACGCAGAGGUUCGCGGAGACACUCGACUACUACACUGCCAUUUUCGAGUCCAUCGACGUGGAGCGCCCAAGGGAACCGAAGGAGAGGACCAAAAUGGAGCAGCACUGCCUGGCGAGGAAGAUUGUGAACAUCGUCGCCUGCGAGGGUGCGGAGAGGGUGGAGCGGCACGAGGUCUUCAGCAAGUGGAAUGCGCGCCUCACGAUGGCCGGGUUCAGACCGUUGCCACUGGGCUCCCGGGUGAAAGACAACCUCAGGACGCUGCUGCACUACUACUCGUCGAACUACAGGCUCGCCGAGAGGGACGGGGUGAUAUACCUCGGAUGGAAGAAUAGGGCCCUCGUGGUAUCGUCUGCAUGGCACUAG
rnacentral:rRNA from 1 species